GGAGGCCUGUGAUGAUCUUCUUAUAGUCUUGCCUACAUUGCCUGACUACGUGUAUGAUUAUGUUAUUGACUUUUCUGAGGCUUUC
rnacentral:snoRNA from 1 species